rnacentral:misc_RNA from 1 species
UGGCUCUCGCAUCGAUGAAGAACGCAGCGAAAUGCGAUAAGUAAUGUGAAUUGCAGAAUUCAGUGAAUCAUCGAAUCUUUGAACGCACCUUGCGCUCCUUGGUAUUCCGAGGAGCAUGCCUGUUUGAGUGUCAUGUAUUCCUCAGCUCAUUUGGAUUUUUUUUCUGAAUGAAGCUGGAUGUGGAGGCUGCUGGCAUUGUAAUAAAUGUCUGCUCCUCUUAAAUGCAUUAGUGUGAAUAUUUAUCAAAUGUUCCCCAGUGUAAUAAUCUAUUUGCGCUGUUGGUCUUUUGGUAGAACUAUAUGUUCAUGCUUCUAACUGUCUUUUUAGUAAGACAAUAUUUUAUUGCGUUUGACCUCAAAUCAGGUAGGACUACCCGCUGA